rnacentral:rRNA from 1 species
GACGUAGGGGACGAGCGUUGUCCGGAUUUAUUGGGCGUAAAGAGCGCGUAGGCGGCUUGGUAAGUCGGAUGUGAAAUCCCGGGGCUCAACCCCGUGACUGCACCCGAAACUGCCCGGCUAGAGGUAGGUAGGGGAGAUCGGAAUUCCUGGUGUAGCGGUGAAAUGCGCAGAUAUCAGGAGGAACACCGGUGGCGAAGGCGGUGGUCUGGGCCGGCACUGACGCUGAGGAGCGAAAGCGUGGGUAGCAAACAGG